AUGGUUGAUGCAUCAGUGGUUGACAUUAGAGGGGUGGUUGUGGAAUCCAAAGUUGUUGUUACAUCAGUAAUUGUUGUGUUGUCAGACAGAGUUGUGGUUGAUUCAUCAGUUGUUGUUGACACUGGUGCUAGAGUUGAUUGUGUUGAAGGUGUGGUUGUGGUCGAUAAAGUUUUUGUUGCAUCAGAUGCUUUUGUGGUGUCAGACAGAGUUGUGGUUGCUGCGUCAGUUGUUGAAAUUGGUGCAAUAUUAGAGGAUGUUGGAGCAGUGGUUGUGAGAGCCAAAGUUGUUGUUGUAUCAAUUGUUGUUGUGGUAUCAGGCAUAGUUGUUGUUGAUUCAUCAGUUGUUGUUGAUACUGGCACUACAGUUGAGGAUGUUGUAGGAGUGAAUGUGGAAGCCAAAUUUGUUGUUGCAUCUAUCAUUGUUGUGGUAUCAGGAAUACUUGUGGUUGCUGCAUCAGAUGUUGUUGACGUUGGUUCAACCGUUGAGGAUGUUGAAGAGGUGGUUGUGGAAGCCAAAGAUGUUGUUGUUUCAAUUGUUGUUGUAGUGUCAGGCAUAGUUGUGGUUGCUGCAUCAGAUGUUGAUGCUGGUGCUAUAGUGGUCGAUGUCAGAGGUGUGGUUGUGGAAGCCAAAACUGUUGUUUCAUCAGUUGUUGUUCUUGUGGUGGUGUCAGACAGAGUUGUUGUUGAUGCAUCAGUUGUUGUUGAAACUGGCGCUACAGUUGAGGAUGUUGUAGGAGUGAUUGUCGAAGCCAAAGUUGUUGUUGCAUCUAUCAUUGUUGUGGUAUCAGGAAUACUUGUGGUUGCUGCAUCAGAUGUUGUUGACGUUGGUUCAACCGUGGAGGAUGUUGAAGAGGUGGUUGUGGAAGCCAAAGAUGUUGUUGUUUCAAUUGUUGUUGUAGUGUCAGGCAUAGUUGUGGUUGCUGCAUCAGAUGUUGAUGCUGGUGCUAUAGAGGUCGAUGUCAGAGGUGUGAUUGUGGAAGCCAAAACUGUUGUUGCAUCAGUUGUUGUUGUGGUGUCAGAAAGAGUUGUUGUUGAUGCAUCACUUGAUUUUGACGAUGGUUCAACAGUUGAGAAUGUUGGAAAGGUGGUUUUGGUAGCCAAAGAUGUUGUUGCAUCAGUAGAUGUUGGGGUGUCAGGCAGAGUUGUGGUUGAUUCAUCAGUUGUUGACGUUGGUCCUACUGUCGAAGAUGUUGGAGGGGUGGUUGUGGAAUUCACAAUUGUAGCACCAGUAGUUGUGGUGUCAGGCAGAGUUGUGGUUGAUUUAUCAGUUGUUGUUGACUCUGGUGCUAGAGUUGAUUGUGUAGAAGGGGUGGCUGUGGUCGCUAAAGUUGUUGUUGCAUCAGAUGCUUUUGUGGUGUCAGACAGAGUUGUGGUUGCUGCGUCAGUUGUUGAAAUUGGUGCAAUAUUAGAGGAUGUUGGAGCAGUGGUUGUGAAAGCCAAAGUUGUUGUUGUAUCAAUUGUUGUUGUGGUUUCAGACAUAGUUGCUGUAGAUGCAUCAGUUGUAACUGAUACUGGCACUACAGUUGAGGAUGUUGUAGGAGUGAUUGUGGAAUCCAAAGUUGUUGUUACAUCCAUCAUUGUCGUGGUAUCAGGAAUACUUGUAGUUGCUGCAUCAGAUGUAUCAAUUGUUGUUGUGGUGUCAGGCGUAGUUGUGGUUGCUGCAUCCGAUGUCGAUGCUAGUGCUAUAGUGGUCGAUGUCGGAGGUGUGGUUGUGGAAGCCAAAAUUGUUGUUGCAUCAGUUGAUGUUGUGGUGUCAGACAGAGUUGUUUUUGAUGCAUCACUUGUUUUUGACGAUGGUUCAACAGUUGAGAAUGUUGGAAAGGUGGUUGUGGUAGCCAAAGAUGUUGUUGCAUCAGUAGAUGUUGGGGUGUCAGGCAGGGUUGUGGUUGAUUCUUUAGUUGUUGUUGAUGUUGGUCCUACUGUCAAAGAUGUUGGAGGGGUGGUUGUGGAAGUCAAAAUUGUAGUGGAAGUCAAAAUUGUAUCAGGAAUACUUGUGGUUGCUGCAUCAGAUGUUGUUGACGUUGGUUCAACCGUUGAGGAUGUUAGAAAUGUGGUUGUGGAAGCCAAAACUAUUGUUGCAUCAGUUGUUGUUGUGGUGGUGUCCGACAGAGUUGUUGUUGAUCCAUCAGUUGUUGUUGAAACUGGCUCUAUAGGUGAGGAUGUUGUAGGAGUGAAAGUGGAAGCCAAAGUUGUUGUCGACGUUGGUUCAACCGUUGAGAAUGUUGAAAGGGUGGUUGUGGAAGCCAAAACUAUUGUUGCAGCAGUUGUUGUUGUUGUGGUGUCCGACAGAGUUGUUGUUGAUCCAUCAGUUGUUGUUGAAACUGGCGCUACAGUUGAGGAUGUUGUAGGAGUGAUUGUGGAAGCCAAAGUUGUUGUCGACGUUGGUUCAACCGUUGAGAAUGUUGAAAAGGUGGUUGUGGUAGCCAAAGAUGUUGUUGCAUCAGCAGAUGUUGGGGUGGCAGGCAGGGUUGUGGUUGAUGCUUUAGUCGUUGUUGAUGUUGGUUCUACGGUCAAAGAUGUGGGAGGGGUGGUUGUGGAAGUCAAAAUUGUAGUGGAAGUCAAAAUUGUAUCAGGAAUAGUUGUGGUUGCUGCAUCAUAUGUUGCUUCUGGUGCUAUAGUGCUCGAUGUCAUAGAUGUGGUUGGUGAAGCCUAA
ensembl:lncRNA